rnacentral:lncRNA from 1 species
CACACAUAAAAACAUUUGUGGGAUGGAUGAACUGCAGAAAACAUGAGGCGCUGAAGGACUGUGCUGUUCAACAGGUCAUGAGUUCAUUACCUGCAGCUUUUCGUCUAUACGACCCGACAAACAUGUUAAUCUGCACAGGGAAGAGAGUUUGACCAUGGACAGGAUCAGAACUAGUUUGGUGAAGGUGUCUGGAAAAAGCUGAAAAACGGUGAAAAAAACAAAACAGGACAACAGCCGGUAGUGAAAAGGACAACCACUGAAGAA